rnacentral:rRNA from 1 species
UACGUAGGUCCCGAGCGUUGUCCGGAUUUAUUGGGCGUAAAGCGAGCGCAGGUGGUUUAUUAAGUCUGGUGUAAAAGGCAGUGGCUCAACCAUUGUAUGCAUUGGAAACUGGUAGACUUGAGUGCAGGAGAGGAGAGUGGAAUUCCAUGUGUAGCGGUGAAAUGCGUAGAUAUAUGGAGGAACACCGGUGGCGAAAGCGGCUCUCUGGCCUGUAACUGACGCUGAGGUUCGAAAGCGUGGGGAGCAAACAGG